GUGCCAGCCGCCGCGGUAAUACAGAGGUCUCAAGCGUUGUUCGGAUUCAUUGGGCGUAAAGGGUGCGUAGGCGGCGCGGUAAGUCGGGUGUGAAAUCUCGGGGCUUAACUCCGAAACUGCAUUCGAUACUGCCGUGCUUGAGGACUGGAGAGGAGACUGGAAUUUACGGUGUAGCGGUGAAAUGCGUAGAUAUCAGGAGGAACACCUGCGGUGUAGACAGCUUUCUGGACCAUCACUGACGCUGAGGAGCGAAAGCGUGGGGAGCGAACAGGAUUAGAUACCCGUGUAGUCC
rnacentral:rRNA from 1 species